rnacentral:rRNA from 1 species
CUCAGGAUGAACGCUGGCGGCGCGCCUAACACAUGCAAGUCGAACGGCACCCCACCUCGGUGGGAAGCGAGUGGCGAACGGCUGAGUAACACGUGGAGAACCCGCCCCCUCCUCCGGGAUAGCCUCGGGAAACCGUGGGUAAUACCGGAUGACGCCCGGACGACGCAUGUCGCCCGGGCCAAAGCCCAGACGGGAGGGGAUGGCUCCGCGGCCCAUCAGGUAGACGGCGGGGUGAAGGCCCACCGUGCCGACGACGGGUAGCCGGGUUGAGAGACCGACCGGCCAGAUUGGGACUGAGACACGGCCCAGACUCCUACGGGAGGCAGCAGUGGGGAAUCUUGCGCAAUGGGGGGAACCCUGACGCAGCGACGCCGCGUGCGGGACGAAGGCCCUAGGGUCGUAAACCGCUUUCAACAGGGAUGAGACAAGACGGUACCUGCAGAAGAAGCCCCGGCUAACUACGUGCCAGCAGCCGCGGUAAUACGUAGGGGGCGAGCGUUAUCCGGAUUCAUUGGGCGUAAAGCGCGCGUAGGCGGCCUGGCAGGCCUGGGGUCAAAUCCGGGGGCUCAACCCCCGUCCGCCCCGGGAACCGCCUGGCUCGGGUCCGGUAGGGGAGGGUGGAACACCCGGUGUAGCGGUGGAAUGCGCAGAUAUCGGGUGGAACACCGGUGGCGAAGGCGGCCCUCUGGGCCGAGACCGACGCUGAGGCGCGAAAGCUGGGGGAGCGAACAGGAUUAGAUACCCUGGUAGUCCCAGCCGUAAACGAUGGACGCUAGGUGUGGGGGGGACGAUCCCCCCGUGCCGCAGCCAACGCAUUAAGCGUCCCGCCUGGGGAGUACGGCCGCAAGGUUGAAACUCAAAGGAAUUGACGGGGGCCCGCACAAGCAGUGGAGUAUGUGGUUUAAUUCGAAGCAACGCGAAGAACCUUACCAAGUCUUGACAUCCCGAUGACCGGUGCAGAGAUGUGCCUUUUCUUCGGAACAUCGGUGACAGGUGGUGCAUGGUUGUCGUCAGCUCGUGUCGUGAGAUGUUGGGUUAAGUCCCGCAACGAGCGCAACCCUUACGGUUAGUUGCUACGCAAGAGCACUCUAGCCGGACUGCCGUUGACAAAACGGAGGAAGGUGGGGACGACGUCAAAUCAUCAUGCCCCUUAUGACUUGGGCUACACACGUACUACAAUGGCAGUCAUACAGAGGGAAGCAAAACCGCGAGGUGGAGCAAAUCCCUAAAAGCUGUCCCAGUUCAGAUUGCAGGCUGCAACUCGCCUGCAUGAAGUCGGAAUUGCUAGUAAUCGCGGAUCAGCAUGCCGCGGUGAAUACGUUCCCGGGCCUUGUACACACCGCCCGUCACACCAUGAGAGCCGGUAAUACCCGAAGUCCGUAGUCUAACCGCAAGGAGGACGCGGCCGAAGGUAGGACUGGUAAUUAGGGUGAAGUCGUA